rnacentral:rRNA from 1 species
GAUGAACGCUGGCGGCGUGCCUAAUACAUGCAAGUCGAGCGAACGGACGAGAAGCUUGCUUCUCUGAUGUUAGCGGCGGACGGGUGAGUAACACGUGGAUAACCUACCUAUAAGACUGGGAUAACUUCGGGAAACCGGAGCUAAUACCGGAUGAUAUUUUGAACCGCAUGGUUCAAAAGUGAAAGACGGUCUUGCUGUCACUUAUAGCUGGAUCCGCGCUGCAUUAGCUAGUUGGUAAGGUAACGGCUUACCAAGGCAACGAUGCAUAGCCGACCGGAGGGGGGGAUCGGCCACACGGGAACUGAGACGCGGUCCAGACUCCUACGGGAGGCCGCAGUAGGGAAUCUGCCGCAAUGGGCGAAAGCCUGACGGAGCAACGCCGCGUGAGUGAUGAAGGUCUUCGGAUCGUAAAACUCUGUUAUUAGGGAAGAACAUAUGUGUAAGUAACUGUGCACAUCUUGACGGUACCUAAUCAGAAAGCCACGGCUAACUACGUG